rnacentral:tmRNA from 1 species
GGGGAUGCACUGAAUCGCCGGAAUUUGCUCUUUAAAAACUGCAAGCCGACUUUUAUCUGAAGUCGUUAAACAUGGAUUAAAAACUAAGUGCUGAUAAUGAUUCACGCACAACCGCAGAGAUUCUUGCUAGUGUAAAAGCUAAGCUUGCUCGUCUCUCCGGUGCUCAAUCUGCAAAUUUUGCUUACGCACGACUUGCAGCCUAAAGCCAUCUCUGCAUAUCUUUUCCUGAUGGGAUAGUAGAGGUGAAAACACAGUCGGGAUGCAGUUCGUACAGUUUGAUGUUCUGUACGAAUUAAGACUAAUUCAUCUGGCUAUAAUUUUCCUGUCAAUUGGAACAGAUUAUAGUGAAUAUAUAAAUUGACUACGCUUGUAGACGUUUUCGAAGUUCAAUUUCGCACGAGGGCUCAAAACCCUCCAUCUCCACCA